AUUGAACGCUGGCGGCAUGCCUUACACAUGCAAGUCGAACGGUAACGGGCCUUCGGGUGCCGACGAGUGGCGAACGGGUGAGUAAUACAUCGGAACGUGCCCGAUCGUGGGGGAUAACGAGGCGAAAGCUUUGCUAAUACCGCAUACGAUCUACGGAUUAAAGCAGGGGACCGCAAGGCCUUGCGCGGACGGAGCGGCCGAUGGCAGAUUAGGUAGUUGGUGGGAUAAAAGCUUACCAAGCCGACGAUCUGUAGCUGGUCUGCGAGGAUGAUCAGCCACAAGGGGAAGGAGAAACGGCCCAGACUCCUACGGGAGGCAGCAGUGGGGAAUUUUGGACAAUGGGCGCAAGCCUGAUCCAGCCAUGCCGCGUGCAGGAUGAAGGACUUCGGGUUGUAAACUGAUUUUGUACGGAACGAAAAGCCUUCUUUUAAUACAGGAGGGUCAUGACGGUACCGGAAGAAUAAGCACCGGCUAACUACGUG
rnacentral:rRNA from 1 species